rnacentral:lncRNA from 1 species
GUGAAAAUGUACACAGUUCAGCCUCAGACAGUGGUAAUAUUGGUUUUAUUGGGAGCUGUCUCACCUCGAAAAUACCUUGACCUCUGUUGGGAUUUCAAACCGAGUCAGACUCAAUCGAGUUCACGUGCGAGGAGAAGGGUCGUUCCGAGUCUGAGCUCGCCACCUCGCAUCCCCCAGAUUCUCAUAACCCAUUAUCUCACGCCAUGCGAGAGGAGCUUGGAAACGAGCACUGAAAAACAGCUCUGCAUCUUAAGUUCCCACAAGAGAGUCCUUUUGACUUUCUGCUCCUGACCUCAGACAUAACUGGCCACCUGUAUGGAGAUGCAGAUCGACCCAGGACUCGCCUCUCCUGGGUCUUUGCUUGGGGAUGGCCACUUCGUGCUCGAUUUCCUAGAAGAAGACUGGAGUAUUCUGUCAGGGCAGUUCAGAUGGCGUCAGUAUCAUUCAUUGUUCUCUGGGUUCUCUGUCCCUUUUCCUGGACAACGCCACCAGCUGUUCCAGUUUUUGGGGGGCAAAGAUAGAUGGCCAUUCCUAAAAGCUUCACCUGUGCACCCAUAUCAUGGAUUUUCCUCCCUAGAGUGAGAGAUGGUUCUAGCUUACUCUUUUCUGCCCAACAAUGUUGCAUCUAUCCUAAAGCGGGUAUAAGAAGUUUUGAAACCUAGUUUAGUAAAACCUUCUUUGUAUAAACUCCCUAAUUAUCUGAGGCCCCUAUAUUUCUCAAAAAGUAUUUUCACUUGCAGUGGAUUGGGCAAACUCGUUCUUUCUUAUUUUGGGUCCCGAGGCCCAUUCUCAAGUUUCAUACCUAUUCCCCCAGUCAACAUGCUUGACAUAAAACCAAAUCAGUUGCCAAGCACACUUUGUUUUGCAUAGGAGUGCAGCUUAGGAAACAGCAGUGGGAAGGCCGCAGCCCGCUCUGCAAAAUGUUGGAAAUCACCCCACGGUAGCACAUUGAUAUGACCAUCCAUGAGAAUAUACUGAAAAUGCGCUUUCAUUAAUAAUGCCAAGAAACAUUUUAUUUGGCCUUAUAAAGUAGAUCGUGAUAAUGAAAGCUUUGUAAUAGAUAGUCUUGAUUUCUUCCCUUAUUAAUCUGCCAAAGACAGGAAUGGAUACAAGAAUUUUAAGUCGAUUUUUGUUGACCAUUUAUGAUUGUAAUCGUGUUUAAUCUUCCAGAAAGCUUUCUAUGUUCUUCCGCCGUAAAACCAAAUGGAUGUUUCAGUCAAGUUCUCCUCACCCUCACAAACCUACACACGAAUCCUUUCGAAGCAGGUAUUGUAGAAUCUACGAAAUUCAAAUGUAUUUUAAUCCGAAGUAAACAGAGGAGUGUCUGAGACAUGAGUGUGCCCAACAGUUUUUAUUAUGAGAGACGCAUGGGUCUGGCUUAUUAACUAGCAUUUGCCAAGAAGACUUGUCUUAUGAAACUCGAGGUAUAUUUUGUUAUGCCAUUUUAUGUCCUUUUUUUUAAAAAAAAAAAACUUUGUGGAAAGUGAUAUGUUGAAUCAAGUGUAAGCUGAGUUUUCCAGACAACUGAAGUAGCUACAUCGUGAAUGUUAUUUUGUUAUUAAAGGGUUUUUACUC